rnacentral:lncRNA from 1 species
UUUGAAUAUCUGAACUUAUUGUCACUAAGUAACAAUGUUGAGUCAAGCUCAGACGCUUGAUUUUACAGAAACCUCAAAUAUAUUUUACAUCUGUAUAGAACGUAAAAAGGAGUCCAAAUGAUUGGAAGAGAUAGAGAAAGAAGUGCUGGGCCUAUCUCAUAAUCCGAGGAGUCUGAAGUGAGAAGCAAGUGGUUGGUUUUGAUAAUUGAUACAGUGAGUGAAGCAUAACUCACACUCUGCCCCCAAAAUCUAUUUC